rnacentral:lncRNA from 1 species
AGAUUUUUAACUUAGAAAAAAAUUGAAAAGCUCUCUCCUCUCUUCCUCUCAAAACCGUCCCCUCUUCUCUCUCACUCACCUCACCAUAGAUUUUUCAUUUCUCACCCAUUCAAGCUUGGAUCGGUCUUGUUGGAUCAAGGAACUUGCAAGGAAAUCACUUCUCUUAAGGUAACUAACCUUCUCCUUGUUUUUGCUUGGUAGAAACUCAUGAUUCUAGGAAUUUUUGGGUUAUGUUCUUGAGAAUUAUUUUUCUAGAAAUUAGUUUUGGUUGUUUGUGGUUCUAGGGAAGUGUUUAGGAGUAGUAUUUAAGCUUGUUUAAGCUUGGCAUGUUGUGAUUUCCAUGGUGAUUAAGAUUUUCAUGAAAACUUUUGUUAGGGUUUGAAAAAUUGAUUUGAAUUGCUCAUAACUUUGGAAAAUUGUGUUGUGCUUUUAUUUUUGAAGUUGUUUAUGAGCUUUGUAGGGAAAUGGAUGUUAGGAAAUGGUUUUGUUUUUGUGAAACAAGAAAAUUUAUUUUGUAUGUGUGUUCUUGAGGUGUUCAUGAACAAAUUUUUGGAAAUCCUUGCUUUGGCCCUCAAAAUGAUUUGGUUGAUCAAUUUCAAAGACUUGUGGACUCAUAGAUGCAUGCUAGGUAUUAGUAUUGAAAAAAUUUUGGGUGUGGUUUACAUUUUUCAAAACUUUUGGUCAUGAGAAAUUUUGAAAAGUGAGGAGGAGUUUUCAAAAAUUGUCAGGGCUUUGAGGGAGGCACAAUGGUGGCCUAGGGCGAAUUACCAUGCAAAAAUUUUUGGGAA